GAAAACAAGUGGCUUUUGGUUCAAAGUCGAUGUUACAUCCUAUGCUUGUUUCUUUUAUUUCCUCGGUUUUCUUUUCUUAUUUCUUUUUCACCUACAGCCCUUUUCCGUCGAGUUGUUGAAUUUUUAUUUUUCUUUCUUUUUCUCGAUUCAUCAUUUUUUCUUUUUCUCUUGUUUUUGCACUUUCUUGGGCUUUGAGAGCUUUUGGGGUUUUUACCCCAAACUUAGCUUUUCAACACAACUUUGAAUGCAUUAUCAUGACUCUGAAUAGGGUGAGGAAGUGUUUUGGCCAACGGUUACAUUUAUGGUGUUUAAACAAAAAAAUGGAUAUAGGCUCAAAG
rnacentral:lncRNA from 1 species